rnacentral:rRNA from 1 species
GCUGGCGGUGCGCAUAAACAUGCAAGUCGAGCGAGGGCUUAUUUCCCGCAAGGGAGAUGAGUUCCUAGCGGCGAACGGGUGAGUAACACGUGGGCAACCUUUCCUAUCGCGGGGGAUAACAGCGGGAAACCGCUGCUAAUACCGCAUGUCGUCACCGGUCGCAUGGCCGGUGAAGAAAGCAGCAAUGCACGAUGGGGUGGGCCCGCGGCCUAUCAGCUAGUCGGUGGGGUAACGGCCUACCGAGGCGAUGACGGGUAGCUGGUCUGAGAGGACGACCAGCCACACGGGGACUGAGACACGGCCCCGACUCCUACGGGAGGCAGCAGUGAGGAAUCUUCCGCAAUGGGCGAAAGCCUGACGGAGCGACACCGCGUGUGGGAUGAAGUCUUUCGGGAUGUAAACCACUGUCGGAGGGGAAGACAUCGACGGUACCCUCCAAGAAAGCCCCGGCUAACUACGUGCCAGCAGCCGCGGUAAUACGUAGGGGGCGAGCGUUAUCCAGAUUUACUGGGCGUAAAGCGCGUGUAGGCGGCUGGUUAAGCGUGAUGUGAAAUCU